CCUACGGGUGGCAGCAGUGAGGAAUAUUGGUCAAUGGGCGCUAGCCUGAACCAGCCAAGUAGCGUGAAGGAUGACUGCCCUACGGGUUGUAAACUUCUUUUAUAUGGGAAUAAAGUGAAGCACGUGUACCUUUUUGUAUGUACCUUAUGAAUAAGGAUCGGCUAACUCCGUGCCAGCAGCCGCGGUAAUACGGAGGAUCCGAGCGUUAUCCGGAUUUAUUGGGUUUAAAGGGAGCGUAGGUGGGUUGUUAAGUCAGUUGUGAAAGUUUGCGGCUCAACCGUAAAAUUGCAGUUGAUACUGGCAGCCUUGAGUACAGUAGAGGUAGGCGGAAUUCGUGGUGUAGCGGUGAAAUGCUUAGAUAUCACGAAGAACUCCGAUUGCGAAGGCAGCUUACUGGACUGUAACUGACACUGAUGCUCGAAAGUGUGGGUAUCAAACAGGAUUAGAUACCCGAGUAGUC
rnacentral:rRNA from 1 species